rnacentral:rRNA from 1 species
UCCGUAGGCGGGCGUCUAAGUCAGUGGUGAAAUCUUACAGCUCAACUGUAAAAUUGCCAUUGAUACUGGAUGUCUUGAAUUAGUGUGAAGUGGUUAGAAUGUGUAGUGUAGCGGUGAAAUGCAUAGAUAUUACACAGGAUACCAAUUGCGAAGGCAGAUCACUAACACUAUAUUGACGCUGAGGGACGAAAGCGUGGGGAGCGAACAGGAUUAGAUACCCUGGUAGUCC